CAGCUUCCCACAUACACAACCCCCAUGCUGGAUCUGCUACACUCCCAAACAUGUGAGUGACAACAGGCUUGACAGCCCUUGGGGUGGUGAAAGAUCUGGCGAGAGCAAGCCUCCCCAGCAUGCUCAUCAGCCUUAAGCAAUCAUGUCUGUGAUCAUGCUGCUGAAAUAAGGAGGUCCUGAAAGACCAGCCGACUGAGAGAUGACUGAGAAGUUGGAGCCAUGGCUAUUUGUCUAGGAUUUUGUGUCAGAAAUUUCCUUUGUUUCAUGGACUCUCUGUGGACUCCAAGGUGGGUAAAAAAUUCUGACCUGCAGCCUGAGGUCAAAGUAUGAGCCUCUCCUUCCUGAAGUUUUCAACUUUGCAUAGAGCUGCUGAACUAGAAUGCA